rnacentral:rRNA from 1 species
AGUGAACGCUGGCGGUAGGUCUAACACAUGCAAGUCGAACGGCAGCACAGUAAGAGCUUGCUCUUACGGGAGGCGAGUGGCGUACGGGUGAGGAAUACACCGGAAUCUACUUUUUCGUGGGGGAUAACGUAGGGAAACUUACGCUAAUACCGCAUACGACCUACGGGUGAAAGCAGGGGAUCUUCGGACCUUGCGCGAUUGAAUGAGCCGAUGUCGGAUUAGCUAGUUGGCGGGGUAAAGGCCCACCAAGGCGACGAUCCGUAGCUGGUCUGAGAGAAUGAUCAGCCACACUGGAACUGAGACCCGGUCCAGACUCCUACGGGGGGCAGCAGUGGGGAAUAUUGGGCAAUGGGCGCAAGCCUGAUCCAGCCAUACCGCGUGGGUGAAGAAGGCCUUCGGGUUGUAGAGCCCUUUUGUGGGGAAAGAAGAGCAGCAGGUUAAUACCCCGCUGUUCUGGCGGUACCCAAAGGGUAAGCACCGGCUAACGUCGUG